AUCUAUAUGCAACUUUAUUUGUCACUCACAGCGGCACAAAGGUUAGGGCGUGGGAUUCCGCUGUUGAAUGAAGACCAACAUGAACUACCAGACGAAGAGGGACGUAUGGAUUCUUUGUUGAUCUCGAAGGGUCCCUGGGGCAGGGUAUUCCCUCAUGCAAUAAUCUAAUAUGUGGAUAGACAAGGAACAUAUACCAAUGCAUUUGAAAACCAAGCUUUGAUGUCUUUGUAUGUCUGUUUCUAUAAAAAUAAAUUUCUCAAGGUUAAC